CUUUCUCUCUCUCUCUCUCUCUCUCAUAGAGAAUCGAUCACCACCACCCCUCAUCUUGCCAUCGCAGACAACCACAGUUUCCGUCAAUCUUCCACUGUCGAACAUCGCCACCGCAGCUCACCAUUUCCUCGCCUCGCCUCCCAUUGAUUCGCUUCUGGCGGCUUACUUCUCUCUACAUUUUUUUUCUCUCCGCAUCUUCUCUUUUCCUCACCAGAUCGAUGACAAUCUCCCUCCCUUUACUUCUCUUUGUGUUCGAUUUUUGUUGGUUCAUGAUCUAUGUUCAAAGUUAUAUAUAUAUAUAUAUAUGUGUGUGUGUGUGUGUGUGUAAAGCUUUAGUGAUUUCUAUAUGUGUGUGUGUAAUUGGGUAUUUGAUUGUUCGAUUUCCAAACCCUAAUGGCGGAAAUGGAAAUUCGAAGUCUGUAUAUGUGUGUAAUUGGGUAUAUGAUUGUUGUUUGAUUUGGUUAUUGGAAACCUAGAGGAAACGCUUUUGUUUACGUUUAUCCAACUGUUGAUUACCAGGUACAUGCUGAUUUAAAAUCAAAAUUGAAUUAUUUUGUGUGUGCUUAGAAUGAAAUUGAGCUAGGGCUAAAUUAGAGAAGUUGUUUUGAUUGUUGGAUUUGAUUAUUUUGGAUUGAUUUGGGGGAUUUUUGAUGGAAAUUAUUGUCAUAUUGGAUUCAAGUGUUAUUAGUUUGAAAGAAGUAUUUUCAAUUCCCUUUUCUAAUUGAUUUUGCAGGUAUAUGCUGAUUUAGACUCGAAAUUUUUUUUUUUCCUGCUGUUAGUAUGGACGUGUAUAUUUGUAUAGGCUGGUUUUUUUUCCGUUGUUGAAUGGGAGAAGAGGUAUGUUUUAUGAUAGGCCUAACAGUUUAAUUGCCAUAUUGUCCAAUGUAUAUUUGUAUAGGCUAAUUCUUUGGACAUUUACUAGUCUUGCUCCUCAAUAAUUCUGAAAUUUCGUUCACUGAUUGCAAUAGGAUUGACGGGAACACACUAUCUGGGAAGAUACCUGAUCUCAUCAGGAAUUGGACAAAAAUUGUGAGAUUGGACAUGCAAGGCAUAUCUAUGGAUGGCCCUAUUCCUUCGACCAUUGCCCAGCUGAAAGACUUAACUGAAUUGAGGAUAUCUGAUUUGAAUGGAUCAAGUAUGAAAUUCCCUGAUCUGCAGGAGUUGAAAAUGUUGAACACACUGCAAGUUGAAUCCAGAUGUAAUUCAUGGGAAGAGUGCAAUCUUGUUUCAUCAAUUUGUGGCUUUUUGAAGAUCUUUGUCUUUUUCAGUAGCUUAUUUGUUUGAAAGAGUUCUCAUUGAAGAGAUGGCUUUGUUGCGUGGACUUGUGGAAAAUCCAUAUUGGUGCAUGGAGAAGAAUUUUCACUUUUGUGUAGAACUAACAUAAUACUUUUGUCAUCCUUAGCUUUUGUGUAGUUCAUUAUUACUUUUGUCGUGGUAGAUAUAUCACCUUUUGUUGUGGUACAGAUUAUGAUGGUAAUUUGUACCAUGCCAAAUGGUAAUUUUGCUUGGUAGUAAAUGUAUUUUUUUGUAUACGGAGGGUUUUGAUUUUUGUAUGAUAUAUUU